GACGACCGGCGCACGGGUGCGUAACGCGUAUACAAUCUACCUUUUACUGAGGGAUAGCCUUUGGAAACGAAGAUUAAUACUUCAUAGUAUGUUGACUUCGCAUGGAGUCGACAUUAAAGAUUACGGUAAAAGAUGAGUAUGCGUCCUAUUAGCUAGAUGGUAAGGUAACGGCUUACCAUGGCAACGAUAGGUAGGGGCCCUGAGAGGGGGAUCCCCCACACUGGUACUGAGACACGGACCAGACUCCUACGGGAGGCAGCAGUGAGGAAUAUUGGACAAUGGAGGCAACUCUGAUCCAGCCAUGCCGCGUGCAGGAAGACUGCCCUAUGGGUUGUAAACUGCUUUUAUACAGGAAGAAACACCUCUACGUGUAGAGGCUUGACGGUACUGUAAGAAUAAGGAUCGGCUAACUCCGUGCCAGCAGCCGCGGUAAUACGGAGGAUCCAAGCGUUAUCCGGAAUCAUUGGGUUUAAAGGGUCCGUAGGUGGAUAAUUAAGUCAGAGGUGAAAUCCUGCAGCUCAACUGUAGAAUUGCCUUUGAUACUGGUUGUCUUGAGUUAUUAUGAAGUAGUUAGAAUAUGUAGUGUAGCGGUGAAAUGCAUAGAUAUUACAUAGAAUACCAAUUGCGAAGGCAGAUUACUAAUAAUAUACUGACACUG
rnacentral:rRNA from 1 species